UCCAAUUUACACAGAAAGCGUAUAUGUAUCAAAAUCCAUGAACAAUCAGCAUAAAAAAUUGAGAUAACAACUUCAGGGAAAACAUGCUUUGGCCGAUAACUGAAGUGUAAAGGAAGAGGUUAUCUUACAUGGGCUUCUCACGGUGACAAUUCACGGGCUGCAGCGGCGGAUUCCGGCGAAGUAGUGGCAGUGUGACAGCCCCACCUCCCCCUAAGGCGUACCAAAGGGUUCGGCGGACCGCCUGCCCACUCUCGCCAGGACUCACUCACUCGUAUCUUACGCAUACAUCCAUAGACAAGAAAUAACAUCGCAAUUCAAACUUAUAAUAUACAUCGAAACUCAAAUCCAGAUACAAAGCUUCUACAUACCAAAAUACUUCAAAGUGUUUACAAUUCGAGUACAAUCAACCCUGGUCGGGUACUAGCACAAGUACAAAUUCAAAAUUCAAAACAACUAGACUACGCUAGUCGGUACAUGUCUCACGCCUCGCUCGUACCCCCUGUAAGGAAAACAAAUGGAGUGGAAUGAGCUAAAAGCCCAGUGAGGUUCCAAAUAGCAAGUUGACCAUUAUUUAAAGUACACGUAUCAACGUAGCAAAAGAUAGCGAGCAUAACAAGUUCAUAAAAGUGAACACUAACACUUCAAGUAGCAAAUUUCCAAAUGACGAGUGUAAAGUGCUUUUGGUUUUUAAAGAAACAAUAAUCCAAUAGGCAAUAAUCAUUUCCAAGUAUAAGGAUACGGAUGGCUCUCAGGAGCCAAGUUCCCAUUGCUUCACCAGAGCUUGAUCAAAUAUUAGUUGACACUCCGUCAACUUUCAAGUAAAGUAACCAAUCCAGUAGAUCACCACUUAACUCCAAUCUCCGUCCACCAACCAAACCCCUUACCGGGCCCGAACUCCAAGAUAAACACUGGUGGUAAUACUCGAGUAUACCGAUUAGUCGAGGAGAUAACACUCCACUCGACAACACUAGAUACCCAUGGUUCAUUAUCUAAUCGACCAGGCCCUUGCCGGCUCGACUCGAUUAACUAGCCAAUGGGGUUUGGGUCCCCAAAAAGUCGAUGAGAUAACACUCCAAUCGACUGAAUCAAGAUAAAAGUACGGAGACGGGAAUGAGAGGUACCUCCCACUCAGAUCGAGUGUGGUACAUACUGCCGCUCAGUACUUACAAGUCACGUACAAGUAUCUCAAAUCAAUUGCAACAAUAAACAAGUACAUAUCACAUUAGGGCAAGUGCGAUAAAGUACACCCUUGCUCGUCAUACCAAUCACAUAUCAUUCGACCAUAUUGGUCAAAUAUUAAAACUAGUGUCCAGUUCAAUCAGGUAUUUGGAAGCACUCACCAAAGGUCUAGUGCCUCUCAAAAGUCACAUUCAGGUCCAACUCCUUGGUUGGAGUCCAAAUCUGCGAUAAAAUAUCAUUUAUGCAUGUAAAACUCUCUAAAGUUCGAAACAUAGGAGUUUCGCUUCAAGAAAAUCAAGUAAAUGCAAAUCGUUUAAGUGGUAUUCACGAUACUUAUCAAAUGCCGAACAAUUCAUGCUCGCUCUUAAACCUUUGUAACUUUGAAGCAAUUAUACUUUGAAAUACCAUUUGAGUCGAAGAAAUGGAGAAAACGUAUUUCUAUUAGUCGUAAUUUUCAUUUUUCCAAGGGUACAAGUUUCGGCCGAAUUCUAACUCAUAUACCUCGAAAAAGAAGACGCAAAUAUUCUAGAUGGUUCACGUGGUAUUCGCUCUCAAGCCUUACUCGAGUCGCAAGUAUAUCUACCUAGCCCUCGAGUGCAAAUUUGGGCAGCACGCCCUUGGUAUUUACCUAUUUUCCAGCCAUUUAUGGCUUCAUUCUUUUUCUCAAUCAGCCCCAAAACACAUAUAAAUAAUCUCAUCACAAUAGUCGUUCAAUAGGCUAAAAGUCAUCCAAAUACAAGGCAAUUCUAGCAAGUAAGCUUCACUUGGAAAUUCGAAAAGAGUGGCUAAAAGCUAAGUACAAGUCUUGACCGUUUUAAUUAAGAUAACUUGUUAAAAGAGUAAAACUUUGAGGAAAUAAGAGAUACAUUAGCGAGAGAAGUUCAAUAGGGGUACAUUUGAAGUCAAGGAAGUGGAAAAAUCAAGGUAAGAGGUUGGAAGUAGGCCGUCCGAGGUUUUAAAGUCAAGAAGCCUGUUUCUCUGCUUUAGGAAUCUACCGAGAUGAAUAGUAACAGUAAACUUUAAAAAUUCGCAACUCGAGUUCCACAAGUCAAAAAAUUAUGAAAGUUAUACCGUUGUAAAAUAGAUUUUUAGUACUACCACAUCCCAGAAGACACUUUUUAGAGAUUAAAAUCACAAAUAGGCCAAAUAUUCGAUCCAAGUCAAAAAUUCAUUUUCCUGAAGAAACAGGACAUUCAAGCAGGGCAGCCUACUUUGAGGAGUCACGGACAGCAGUACACAUGGUAGAAAAAUAUGAAAGUUUUACAGAACAAAGGCCCAUGAGUCUAGUUUCAAAUGCCACUGACGGCACCUCAAUCGGAUUUUUCUACACCAAGAUAUAAGCAUUUUACUGAAACUGGUCAGUGAAAUCCGAAAAUCUGGAAACUCAAUUUCACUUGUGAAAAACUCUUUUUUCUCUUUUAAAACCACAAGACUUUUAUUCCAACCACCCAUACAUUAAGUAUGACAUUCAUACCAGCAAUUGUAACAUAAUUUAAGCAUCAAAUUUCAACAAAAACCAAAGAUAUACGUAUAUGCCAAGUUGAAAGUUUUGUAAGAUGUGUAGACUAAGAUUAAAUCAUUUUCUAUUCAAUAGUCAUGGAUUCUAAGUUGUUUGUAGUUUGGGUUUUGUUCCACUACACCAAUGAAUAGCAACCAGACUAAGCCAACCAUCAUGCAGCUUAACUGCACCAAUGAAUAGCAAUCUAAAGUUUAAAUACCCACUUCCGCAAAACAUUGACAUGUUUUAUAAAAGGAGAAAAUUUGAACUUCACUACCAUUAUUCUUAUACGGAACCUGGUCAUAUAUCUAAAAUGGAAAUUAAUCAUAUACUGUGUCCUUGAAGAGCACUACCUAAGGAACCAAGAGACAUAGAUAUUGGCACCCAAUCCGUAGUAUAUUGGUUUUCACAGCAGCUCUCUCUUUGAAGCAUCUGACACGACUUCUAUUUCAGAAACUCACCAUUGUUAUCUAAAAAUAAAGCCAAGAGUGCAGCAUAGCAACUAGAACAACUUAUAUACGACUUUCACAGCUAGUAAUCCUAUAUAACCUGAAGUAGAUAUAUUUCAUACUUCUGCUAACACGAGUCUUCAAGGAAAUUCCAGUUACAAGCGUUAAAAUUCUAGCUCCUUAGCCUCGGUCAUCUCAGAAAUUUUCCAGCACCCAAUCAGCCUUUAAUCUAAAUUUUCUUCAGCAAGGUUCAUUCUUAGCUAAAGUCUAACAUUCAUGUCCAUAUACGUGAACUAGAGAGUGUAUAUCAGUCAUGCACAUAAGAAACAAUCAGAAAAUCUCAGCUUAGCUCAACAAUAUCACAUAACAGCUUCUAUUGAGCAUUUCCAGCACUUGGUCAGUAUUUUAAUCUUUAUUUCUUCAGCCAAACCUCUUAUAAACUUAAGGUAAAUGUAUAACAUAUGUUUCCUAUCAUUGGUUUUCCAGAAAUUUCCAGCAAUAAAUCCAGUCUUUACAACCAAUUUCUACUUCAAUCCAACCUCAAGGAAAUAUACAUCAAAAGCCCUCUAAAGUAUGUGAAAGAAAUUAAAGUUCCAAGUCAUGUUACCUUUAAAACAAGCUAGAAGUUAACUCCCCUGUUUUGGUCCUUCUACUCGAUCAAACAAGCUGGAAAUGGAAACAAGACUCAAGCUUCCUUUCAGUUUUCUCUCGCUGGUUGCUCUUGGCUGAAGUGGAAACAAAACAAGGGAAAUUUCUUUGUUUUCCCCAAAUUUUCUCUCGGCUGGAAGGUGGGUGCAAGCCACAACCUUUUCCUCUCAACUCUCUCUACUCUCUCUCGGCUAAGGUGGGACAAAACAAGUGAGCAGUCUUGUUUGUCUUUGUUUUUCUUUCUCUCGGUGGUUGAGCUAAAGAAAAGAAACA
rnacentral:lncRNA from 1 species